AGCCUCGUGGAAACGCGAGGGGCCUUGAAUCCCUUGGUUGCAGGUUCGAAUCCUGCGGGCC
rnacentral:tRNA from 1 species